rfam:Thermodesulfatator indicus DSM 15286, complete genome.
GGGGUCGGUCGGAGGUCGCCGGGGAGUAAUCCUCGGAGGAAAGUCCGAGCUCCACAGGGCAGGGUGCCGGGUAACUCCCGGAGGGGGUAACCCCUGGAAAGUGCCACAGAAAACAGACCGCCCCGUACCCAUUUUCAGGGCGAAUUGAAUCUAUAGACGAUUGAGAAGGUACGUUUAUUUUUAGGGGCUACCCAAUUUGCCUCAAAAAUGGGUGCGGGGUAAGGGUGAAAAGGUGGGGUAAGAGCCCACCGCCUCUCCUGGUAACAGGAGAGGGCACGGCAAACCCCACCCGGAGAAAGGCCAUGUAGGGGAGCGCUUGAGGGUGCCCCGCCCGAUGCUCCCGGGUAGGCCGCUUGAGCGGUUGGGUAACCAAUCGCCUAGAGGAAUGACCUCCACCCCGAAUGGGGUACAGAACUCGGCUUAUGGCCGGCCCCUUUU